CCAGGAGAUGGCAGCCACUUUUUGGAAAACAGUCUUUAAACAGAGCAUUGCUGGGUGACCGGUCGAGGGGCAGGACAUGCAGGAUGAUAGUCGCCUGCUGAAAAGGCACUUCUGACAGGCCAGGGUGCAGCACAGAGUCUGCCCAGAGAACCACGUGUGAGUCCUUAAAAUGGUCAUAAAUAUGUGUAGGGAUCAUCACCUUAUUUUUAGGGAUUGCAUCCAUCUUAGGGGACCAUCUGAACUCUGGAGAUCAUAGCCAAUGCUUGCUUGACACAGCGGGAUGGCUGAGAGGCCUGUGCAGCACUGGUGGCCACACCUGCGGGGGCAGAGGGAAGGAAGGGC
rnacentral:lncRNA from 1 species